rnacentral:rRNA from 1 species
CGGAGGCAGCAGUGGGGAAUAUUGGACAAUGGGCGCAAGCCUGAUCCAGCAAUACCGCGUGUGUGAAGAAGGCCUGAGGGUUGUAAAGCACUUUUAAUAGGGAGGAAAACCUGUCGGCCAAUACCCGACAGCUUGACAUUACCUAUAGAAAAAGCACCGGCUAACUCCGUGCCAGCAGCCGCGGUAAUACGGAGGGUGCAAGCGUUAAUCGGAAUUACUGGGCGUAAAGCGUGCGUAGGCGGUUUGCUAAGUCAGAUGUGAAAGCCCCGGGCUUAACCUGGGAACUGCAUUUGAUACUGGCAAACUAGAGUUUAAUAGAGGGGAGUGGAAUUUCAGGUGUAGCGGUGAAAUGCGUAGAGAUCUGAAGGAACACCAGUGGCGAAGGCGACUCCCUGGAUUAAAACUGACGCUGAGGUACGAAAGCGUGGGUAGCAAACAGGAUUAGAUACCCCGGU